rnacentral:lncRNA from 1 species
UCUUCUUUCCAUAGUGCUUCUUCUGUUGAGGGCAUUCGGAGCGGAUGUGUCCCGGUCUCUUGCAAUCAUAACAUAUGAUUGGGUCUCUUUCUUUUUCUUUUCCUUUUUCCAAUCAUUUCUCCCUCCAAACUUCUUUCUUGGGAAGGCCUUCUUUCUUCUUAUGAAUUUUUUGAACUUCCUUACUAUUAAGCCCAAGUCUUCAUCUUCACUUUCUUCUUCACUUUCACUACUUUCUUCUUCACAAAUACUUGAAGUGGCCUUGAGGGCGAUUGUCUUCUUCUUUGGCACAUAUUCUUCAUGUUGCUUCAUUGUGAGCUCAUGCGUCAUCAAUGAGCCCAAUAGUUCUUCAAGUGCCAAGGUGUUGAGGUCUUUGGCUUCUACAAUCGCCGUGACCUUCGCUUCUCAAACUUUUGGCACGGACCUGAGAAUUUUCCUCACAAGUUCUGAGUUAGUGUAAGAUUUACCCAAAUUCUUUAGACCAUUAAUUAUAUCAGUGAAGCGUGUGAACAUGCAUGAAAUAGUUUCGUUGGGUUCCAUCUUAAAUAAUUCAUAUUUGUGAACUAGAAUGUUCAUUUUAGACUCCUUGACUUGAUUAGUGCCCUCGUGGGU